rnacentral:lncRNA from 1 species
UAUACCAAUACAUAAGACAGGUGUAUAUAUAUACACACAUAUAUAUAUCUAUAUAUGUCUAUACAUAUGCUAUAUAUUUACCUGGAUACAUAGAGUGUAUAUCAUCUUUUAAACACCCGGACAUUUCGUACAUGACGCGAUCAACGUAGAAUAUAUCCAAACAUUAUUGGGGAAGAUGGGUGUUUCCACGACGCCCGCCGUGCCAAAACCGCCAAAAUCCACUGAAAAGACAACCAAUGAUACACAACAAAGCAACGUUCCCGUCGGUCUGAUAGCAGCUUUGAUAUUGCUAUGCGUCCUGAUAGCAGCAUUGAUAUUUCUUUGGGGUAAGUAACU